CCUGCUGCCACAAGACCUGCUGCUGCUAAAGCCCUGCCAGUCUUCGUACUGCUACUGUCAGGAGGUGCUGGACCGGCUCAUCCAAUGCGGGCUCCUGGUUGCUGAGGAGACCCCAGGCUCCCGGCCAGCCUGUGACACAGGGCGACAGCGAUUGAGCAGAAAGCUGCUGUGGAAACCGAGUGGGGACUUUACUGAUAGUGACAGUGAUGACUUCGAAGAGGCUGAGGGCCGGUACUUCAGGGUGUGUUUCAAAAAGCUGCCCCUGGAGGGAGGUGGUAGGGAGGCGGUGGGGAGCUGCACUCACCCCGGCCUGUCCCCUCCAGCUCAGCCAGCAGUCACACUGCCCAGAUUUCUUUCUUUUCCUCUGCCGCCUGCUCAGCCCGCUGCUCAAGGCCUUUGCACAGGCUGCCGCCUUCCUCCGCCAGGGCCAGCUGCCCGAUACUGGUGAGGCCCUUGUUCCCUUGCAGUCCUCGAGGCAGGCUGUGUCUGUGCUGGGUGCCAGGUCUAGGUCUUCUCUCUUCUGCAGAGUUGGGCUACACAGAGCAGCUGUUCCAGUUCCUGCAGGCCACCGCCCAGGAAGAAGGGAUCUUCGAGUGUGCGGACCCAAAGCUCGCCAUCAGUGCUGUCUGGACCUUCAGAGACCUAGGGGUUCUGCAGCAGACGCCGAGCCCUGCAGGCCCCAGGCUCCACCUGUCCCCUACUUUUGCCAGCCAGGACAAUCAGGAAAAACUAGAACAGUUCAUCCGGCAGUUCAUUUGUAGCUAGAACUGUGAGGAGGAGCCUGUGCUGAGACUUCUCAGCCCCAGAACACAGCUGUGUCCUAGAGCCAGAAGAUGGAGAGGAGGCUGCAAACCCUUAGCUGCUCUAUAAAUAUAAUCAUUGAGGCUUGAUUGUCCCUUGCCAUCUCUUGCUUUUUCCCUUCUUUGAUGUGAUAAACAAGGGGAC
rnacentral:lncRNA from 1 species